rnacentral:rRNA from 1 species
GUGAACGCUGGCGGUAGGCCUAACACAUGCAAGUCGAACGGCAGCACCGUAAGAGCUUGCUCUUACGGGUGGCGAGUGGCGGACGGGUGAGGAAUACAUCGGAAUCUACUUUUUCGUGGGGGAUAACGUAGGGAAACUUACGCUAAUACCGCAUACGACCUACGGGUGAAAGCAGGGGAUCUUCGGACCUUGCGCGAUUGAAUGAGCCGAUGUCGGAUUAGCUAGUUGGCGGGGUAAAGGCCCACCAAGGCGACGAUCCGUAGCUGGUCUGAGAGGAUGAUCAGCCACACUGGAACUGAGACACGGUCCAGACUCCUACGGGAGGCAGCAGUGGGGAAUAUUGGACAAUGGGCGCAAGCCUGAUCCAGCCACACCGCGUGGGUGAAGAAGGCCUUCGGGUUGUAAAGCCCUUUUGUUGGGAAAGAAAAGCAGCAGGUUAAUACCCCGCUGUUCUGACGGUACCCAAAGAAUAAGCACCGGCUAACUUCGUG